GCGUGCUCUUUUUCUUCUGUC
rnacentral:miRNA from 1 species